rnacentral:rRNA from 1 species
GUGGGGAAUAUUGGACAAUGGGCGCAAGCCUGAUCCAGCCAUGCCGCGUGAGUGAUGAAGGCCUUAGGGUUGUAAAGCUCUUUUGUCCGGGAAGAUAAUGACUGUACCGGAAGAAUAAGCCCCGGCUAACUUCGUGCCAGCAGCCGCGGUAAUACGAAGGGGGCUAGCGUUGUUCGGAAUCACUGGGCGUAAAGCGCACGUAGGCGGACCAUUAAGUCAGGGGUGAAAGCCUGGAGCUAAACUCCAGAACUGCCUUUGAUACUGAUGGUCUCGAGUAUGGAAGAGGUUGGUGGAACUGCGAGUGUAGAGGUGAAAUUCGUAGAUAUUCGCAAGAACACCGGUGGCGAAGGCGGCCAACUGGUCCAUUACUGACGCUGAGGUGCGAAAGCGUGGGGAGCAAACAGGAUUAGAUACCCGUGUAGUCC